UACAUGGGGUGCAAACGUUGCUCGGAAUUAUUGGGCGUAAAGCGCACGUAGGUGGUCUGUUAUGUCAGAUGUGAAAUCCCACGGCUCAACCGUGGAAGUGCACUCGAAACUGCAUAGCUAGAGUCCUGGAGAGGAAGGUGGAAUGCUUGGUGUAGAGGUGAAAUUCGUAGAUAUCAAGCGGAACACCGGUGGCGAAGGCGG
rnacentral:rRNA from 1 species